AUAGACAAGGUGAAUUGCAUUGCUAACGUGAAAUCAAUCCAUAUUACUUUUUCUUUAAUUGUACCUGUAAAUUGAUUAGUAAAAAGAAUUGAAUGACAAUUGGCACAGAAAUGAGUAAAGCAGCAAUUAGUCCACUUUCCUUUUGUGAGUGACUCAAAGGGUCUAAUUCACCAGGAUUUUCUGCAUUAAAUUAAUAUUCAUUGAUUGAUCUCUAAAAUUGUUUUUUGAUUUUGGAAGAUAUCAUAUUGUAGCUGUUGGUGGGG
rnacentral:misc_RNA from 1 species